AUGCUGCUGUCCAGGGUUGCGGCAUUUGGAGCGGUUGGACGGCGGCCGGAGCGAAGUACGCCGGAGCGAUGUCGUGCAAGUCCGGCUGCGACGUUGCCACCGUGCAGGGCGACGAUCCUGCCGCGUCCCCCGCACCUGUCGCCGCAGCUGGUGGUGAUCCCGGCCAGGAAGAGGGCCCUGCAGCCACGGGGUCGGGCGCAGGGCUGA
rnacentral:rRNA from 1 species